CCGGAAGUGUGGCACCCAGAGUCGGUCCUGUAGCUGGGCCGGCUUGGGGCUUGGUUCUAUGUCCCUGUGGGUCGGUGCAAGGGCCAAGAGGAACCCGUAGGCCUCAGGGAAUCCCAGGGGGCCGGACCAGUGUUCCCUAGUUGUGGAAGCAGACGCAUGGGCGAAUCGCGGGAGGGCAGGGCCUGAAGAGCAGUGAAGUUUCUGGUUCCCUCCUUCACUGUGUGACCUGCCUAGUCCUCCUGGGUCGCAUUUACAGAAGUUUAUACGAGACCUAGUUUCCAGGGAAGAACUCACUGAUUCCACAAGGGAGAUGGCAUAAUAGAUGAUGGUCGUCAGCCUUAAGGGUACUUCAGUCUUAACUGUGUGUUACAAAGUUUGAAAGGGAGGGUUCCCUAUGAAUAAGAAGCACACUUGAAAGAACAGCCAUCUGGUCUAACCUCUCACUGGUGCUUCAGAGGAGGAAAAAAGGUCACAGGUGAAGAUCCCAGUUUUCCUUGCUCAGGAAAUAUUAAUUCUACUCCCUAGAAUGCACAAGAUUUGCAAAGACUAGGUGAUAGUAGAAGGUUUGGACGAACUUUCAGAAGGUUGAGGUGAAUUCAGCUGAGAAGAACAGGCAAGGACUUAGGAAAUAUUCCUUAUUUGAAGGGGCCUGAAAGUGUGGUCUGGGGUACAGCAGUGACCUGUCAUACUUGAGAGGAUUAAAAUACUCUCCAAACACAGUCCCAUUCCUUCAAUCUUAGCUCGUUUUUUCGCGUCUGAGAUAUAUUAAACCUAGUCCAUCCCCAAAUUUAGCAUUAGAUUGCGAAGUUCUAUUGAUUGUAUUUGAUUUGUAAUUUAAGAUUUUCUCCCCCUACAUAAUUUUGUUAAAAACACAGAAGUGAAUUCUGUUCACUUAGGUGUAACAGUUAAUACUUGCUGUUUAAGGAACUAAUUAAACCUUACUGGCUUAUAAAAAA
rnacentral:lncRNA from 1 species